UAGGGAAUCUUCGGCAAUGGGGGGAACCCUGACCGAGCAACGCCGCGUGAGUGAAGAAGGUUUUCGGAUCGUAAAGCUCUGUUGUUAAGGAAGAACGAGUGUGAGAAUGGAAAGUUCAUACUGUGACGGUACUUAACCAGAAAGGGACGGCUAACUACGUGCCAGCAGCCGCGGUAAUACGUAGGUCCCGAGCGUUGUCCGGAUUUAUUGGGCGUAAAGCGAGCGCAGGCGGUUAGAAAAGUCUGAAGUGAAAGGCAGUGGCUCAACCAUUGUAGGCUUUGGAAACUGUUUAACUUGAGUGCAGAAGGGGAGAGUGGAAUUCCAUGUGUAGCGGUGAAAUGCGUAGAUAUAUGGAGGAACACCGGUGGCGAAGGCGACUCUCUGGUCUGUAACUGACGCUGAGGCUCGAAAGCGUGGGUAGCAAACAGG
rnacentral:rRNA from 1 species